rnacentral:rRNA from 1 species
UCGCUACUACCGAUUGAACGGCUUAGUGAAAUGUGAGGACCGAGAGUUGUGCAGGGUUUCUUGCGCGAUUACUCGAGGAACUACAUUAAACUUGAUCGUUUAGAGGAAGUAA